rnacentral:rRNA from 1 species
GGUGUGACUGCGUACCUUUUGUAUAAUGGGUCAGCGACUUAUAUUCUGUAGCAAGGUUAACCGAAUAGGGGAGCCGAAGGGAAACCGAGUCUUAACUGGGCGUUAAGUUGCAGGGUAUAGACCCGAAACCCGGUGAUCUAGCCAUGGGCAGGUUGAAGGUUGGGUAACACUAACUGGAGGACCGAACCGACUAAUGUUGAAAAAUUAGCGGAUGACCUGUGGCUGGGGGUGAAAGGCCAAUCAAACCGGGAGAUAGCUGGUUCUCCCCGAAAGCUAUUUAGGUAGCGCCUCGUGAAUUCAUCUCCGGGGGUAGAGCACUGUUUCGGCUAGGGGGCCAUCCCGGCUUACCAACCCGAUGCAAACUGCGAAUACCGGAGAAUGUUAUCACGGGAGACACACGGCGGGUGCUAACGUCCGUCGUGAAGAGGGAAACAACCCAGACCGCCAGCUAAGGUCCCAAAGUCACAGUUAAGUGGGAAACGAUGUGGGAAGGCUCAGACAGCCAGGAUGUUGGCUUAGAAGCAGCCAUCAUUUAAAGAAAGCGUAAUAGCUCACUGGUCGAGUCGGCCUGCGCGGAAGAUGUAACGGGGCUAAACUGUGCACCGAAGCUGCGGCAGCGACACUAUGUGUUGUUGGGUAGGGGAGCGUUCUGUAAGCCGUUGAAGGUGGUCUGUGAGGGCUGCUGGAGGUAUCAGAAGUGCGAAUGCUGACAUGAGUAACGAUAAAGCGGGUGAAAAGCCCGCUCGCCGGAAGACCAAGGGUUCCUGUCCAACGUUAAUCGGGGCAGGGUGAGUCGACCCCUAAGGCGAGGCUGAAAAGCGUAGUCGAUGGGAAACAGGUUAAUAUUCCUGUACUUGGUGUUACUGCGAAGGGGGGACGGAGAAGGCUAUGUCAUCCGGGCGACGGUUGUCCCGGUUUAAGCGUGUAGGCUGAGAUUCCAGGCAAAUCCGGAAUUUCAUACGGCUGAGACGUGAUGACGAGGUACUACGGUACUGAAGUGACAAAUGCCCUGCUUCCGGGAAAAGCCUCUAAGCUC